GUGACGCUGCUCGCCCCGCCCCGCCGGGUGCCCGCAGGCGCAGGGCAACGCGCCGCAGUGCUAGUGUCUGGCUUGGGGGGGUGCCCUAGGUUGCGCUGGCUGGCUGCUGCCGUGACCGCCUCCAUCUCCGUCACGCCCCACAGGCUGGGAAGCGGCGGCCUGGAGCUGCCUCCCUACAAGGCUUCUCGGCUCCGGGUCGUCACCCCUCCGCGCUCUGACGGCACUAGCGUUUCGGGCGGGCUUGGGGCCUCCGCCUCCCUGGUUUCCGGGCUGAGCUCCGUGCCUUCCCGCCUUCGCCAGCGUUCCUGGGUUUGCAUGUCUGUGCUGAGCCUGCCUGAUGCCUCGCUGGCAGCCUUAGCCCUCUAACCUGCAAAAUCUAGUAGACUUCAUAAGCAAAAGCACCUGAAAGCCCUUUCUCCGCCUCCAGGUGCACCACUCUGGAGGCUUAUUAUCCCUCUCCAUAUAAGAUGACACUGAUAACGACUAAGGGGCAUGUACAUUCAGAACAGGUUUACUCUUAAGUUUUCAUCCAAAAUUUUGAAUAUCCAAAACAGACCUGAAGAAUAAGUAACAACCAAUUUUAUAUACUGUUUUUCUCCAAAUAUGUAACUGCCACCAAACUGUGGAGAAGAGAGAAAAAACCUGCCCAAACCCGCAGCAGCUGGAGACCCACCUGCCUGCUGCACUGGAACCAGCAACACCAGGAGGAAAAAGGAUGCCACAGGAACCACAUUUUAUCAGCAGCUAUUCAGUCUGGAUCAGACUACCCUGCAGCUGCACGGGUAUUUCUGGCCUGCCGUGUAGACUGGAGGGAGUGCAAGGACAGGCUGGGAGAGAGCGCCCAGAUGCAGGAAAACCCGGAGGCUGAAGGACAGGUUCCAGAGGAUGGGGAGCUGGCUGCUUGCCAAUGUAAGAGCUCAGAGGGACUCCAGAAAGCCAGGAGACACCGGCACCGAGCCUGCAGCAGGAAAAGCGGCAGAAGCUGGUAGGAAGCCUUGCUGGGGACAAGCCGGCAACAGGAGAGGCGGCCAUACUUAGUUUAAGGUUCUGGUUUGUUUUUUAUUUUUUUCCUGUUUCGUGGGGUUGACCAGAGGGCAGCCGGCCAGGCUAGACCUCAACCUCGAGAUCAAGAAGGGGAGGAACCAGUGACGGGCCAAGGAAAAGGGGAGAGAUACGGGGUGGAUGCCAUGCUCCCAUACCCAGGCCCACAUAGUGAGUUAGAGCUGAUAAAAGGCCCAUAUUUACAAGAAACAAUGGCCACAAGCUAGCAGAGAGCAGAUUCAGACUGGACAUUAGGAAGAACUUCUUCACAGUUCGAGUGGCCAAGGUCUGGAACGGGCUCCCAAGGGAGGUGGUGCUCUCCCCUACCCUGGGGGUCUUCAAGAGGAGGUUAGACGAGUAUCUAGCUGGGGUCAUUUAGACCCAGCACUCUUUCCUGCUUAUGCAGGGGGUCGGACUUGAUGAUCUAUUGAGGUCCCUUCCGACCCUAACAUCUAUGAAUCUAUGAAUCUAUGAAUCCAGAGGUGCUCAGACCUGGCUGACAGGCGCCAAGCCAGCAUGGAAGCGCCCAGGGCUGGGGGACCUUCACGCUACAGUGAGGCAAACCCAGGCAGGGGUUUUGUUUUUUUUGUUUGUUUUUUUUACUUACUUUUUUGUUCCAGAGAGAACAGGGCCCUGCAAAAAGGGGAGAGCCUCUACAGCCCUCUGGGUCUGUGUGUGCUGCAGCAGAAAGAUGCCACCUGUAGGCUGCAGGGCCCAAGGCACUGAAAGGACUUACCUGAAUUCAAGUUGAAUGUCCUGUGUCUUCUGUAGUUCUUUUUACAUUCAUGACACUUUGACAAGGGACUGUUCAGGCCCAGGUGCCCAUCAUACAGAGGAGACAGGCUCAAAGCAACCAUGAGCCAGUAAGUCCCCUGGUCAGAUCCAAGUGGCGCAUGAAUGCAGUGUAGGGGAGGUAGGAGCCCCAGAAGAAGGAUCUGAUGCUAGGAGAAGGAUCCUAGACAAGCUGUGGUGGAACUGAACACUUCCUGAUUAAAGUAUCAGCCAACAUCAAGUCAUGGCAGGCGAGAAUCGGGUAAUUUAGUGGUGGGGCUAGAUCAAAUGUACUCACAUCCCCAGAGCCCAGUCCAGUUGGGCAUAGGGUUGCCAGGCCCUGCGGCCCUAUCCUGAGCUGCGCUGAUACAAAGACUGAAAAUUAUCAAAUUUAAGUCUUAUAUAUAAGAUUUAUAAUUUAGGGAGCAAAACAGAACAAUUUAACAGAAAUAAAUUUUUUAAACAGGCUUGCAAAGUAUUAUUAUAUGGUUACUUCAGAAACUGUAUGCAAGUUACAGAUACAAGCUACACAGAAAAAAGUACAUAUUACAAUUACUUUGAAAACUAGAUACACAACUGAAAAUCUUUAAAUGCUUAUGAUGAUGCAUUACAAAUUGCCAUCACUACAAUAUUAGAACUACUAAAGGCAGUAACCACUUCAAAUGAAAAAUGACCCAGCGAUAUCUGCACCCACUAUGAAGGGCUAAAUCUAUCACUGAUGGUAAAAGUGAUAAAGCCAAAGGCUAUGUGAUCAGAUUGUGCAGGACUCUGCAAUAUGCCUCAUCUUGCAGAGUGAGAGUUAGCUUCAAGGAGACUGCUUUCAUUUGUGGUGAGCAUCUGAGGUAGACACAAGAGGUGUUUUUUUACGUCCACAACAGGAGACAUGCCAGUAAGAUGCCUUAGAUCCAGUGCCAAGUAAAGCAUUAAUUUGUGGACCAGCUAUUUUCAGAGAAGUAGUAUGCAUACACAUAAGCCAGGUAAUAAAAAGGCACUUUAGAACACAGCAUUAAAUUCCCUAUCUAAAUGUCUUAAUGAAGUAAGGAACUAAAACACUGAAAUUUAAUUUGUUAUCAAGAUGCCCUUUAUGGACACUCUGAGCAACUGAAUAGAAUGGAUGCCACACCUACAUGUCUUCAAUAAAAAGGGAGCUAAGCAUCAAGAAGUCUCCACAGAGUUUCAUAUAUCUGUACCUGCUAGCAAAAUAUUCAGAUUUGAAAGACAAAGCUAAGAAAAAGAUAAUUUACCCCCAUUGAAAAUUAGAAGACUAUUGCACAUGGUCAGAUUCUUAAAUGGGAGGAGUAAAAGGCUCCAUCGCCAAAAAGAAAACAGAAACAGCAUUAGGAAAUUUACAGUGAAUUACAACUGGUGUCUUUUUCUUUCUUACCACUCCUGUUCAGACAAGCCAUGGGAUUCUGCAACCCUCCAAGAAAUACAUUAAACAUUUUUUCUCUUUACUUUCAAGAAAAUAGACUUCAAGGAAAAGAAACAACUGAUGGGGAGAACAAAGAGCACCGUCAUACCCUAGACUGGGAAAGAGAGAAGGAUGCAUCUGGUUAAUUCAUGCUGGCCUGUAUGAGGAUUAGGAAAAAAAUAAA